rnacentral:rRNA from 1 species
AACGAACGCUGGCGGCAGGCCUAACACAUGCAAGUCGAACGCUCCGCAAGGGAGUGGCGCACGGGUGAGUAACACGUGGGAACCUACCUUCUGGUACGGGAACAACCAAGGGAAACUUUGGCUAAGACCGUAUACGACCUCCGGGUGAAAGAUUGAUCGCCGGAAGAGGGCCCGCGUCCGAUUAGGUAGUUGGUGAGGUAACGGCUCACCAAGCCUUCGAUCGGUAGCUGGUCUGAGAGGAUGACCAGCCACACUGGGGACUGAGACACGGCCCAGACUCCUACGGGAGGCAGCAGUGGGGAAUAUUGGACAAUGGGCGCAAGCCUGAUCCAGCCAUGCCGCGU